rnacentral:rRNA from 1 species
UACGUAGGGUGCGAGCGUUGUCCGGAAUUAUUGGGCGUAAAGAGCUUGUAGGUGGUUUGUCGCGUCUGCUGUGAAAAUCCGAGGCUCAACCUCGGACUUGCAGUGGUACGGGCAGACUAGAGGUAGGUAGGGGAGAAUGGAAUUCCCGGUGUAGGCGGUGAAAUGCGCAGAGUAUCGGGAAGGAACACCGGUGGCGAAGGCGGUUCUCUGGGCCUUACCCUGA